GCAUUGGUGGUUCAGUGGUAGAAUUCUCGCCUGCCACGCGGGAGACCCGGGUCCGAUUCCCGGCCAAUGCG
rfam:Danio rerio chromosome 4, GRCz11 reference primary assembly.